rnacentral:rRNA from 1 species
UACAGAGGGUGCGCGCGUUAAUCGGAAUUACUGGGCGUAAAGCGCGCGUAGGCGGCUUGUUAAGUCGGAUGUGAAAUCCCUGGGCUCAACCUAGGCAUUGCAUUCGAUACUGGCAAGCUAGAGUAUGGGAGAGGAAGGUAGAAUUCCAGGUGUAGCGGUGAAAUGCGUAGAGAUCUGGAGGAAUACCGAUGGCGAAGGCAGCCUUCUGGCCUUACCUGACGCUGAGGAGCGAAAGCGUGGGUAGCGAACAGG